UUACGGCCAUAUCACGUAGAAAUACCGGUCCCCGUACGAUCACCGAAGUUAAGCAAUGUCAUUCCUGGUCAGUACUUAGUUGAGUAACAGCUUGAAAACACUAGGUGCUGUAAG